rnacentral:rRNA from 1 species
UACGGAGGGUGCGAGCGUUGUCCGGAAUCACUGGGCGUAAAGGGCGCGUAGGCGGCGCGGGGAGUCAACGGUGAAAGCUCGGCGCUCAACGCCGAGUCGGCCGUCGAUACUCCCGUGCUUGAGCACUGUAGAGGCAGGUGGAAUUCCGGGUGUAGCGGUGGAAUGCGUAGAGAUCCGGAAGAACACCGGUGGCGAAGGCGGCCUGCUGGGCAGUAGCUGACGCUGAGGCGCGACAGAGUGGGGAGCAAACAGG